rnacentral:lncRNA from 1 species
AGCUGACGUUUUGUUCCAGCUGCUCUUUCAGGGCAGGGAGCCAACACCUUGAUGAGAGGCAGGGCACACGUGUCUUGAUGCUGUUCUGCGACUGCCUGAUGGCUAUUUCUCAGUGCUGUUGUACACCUGGGAUCGGUGGCAGGCCCAGACACCCUUGCCAUCUAUAGCUCCGAAAAGCCUCAGCGCAGGAAGUCCCCUCCAAAACCAUUAUACCAAUGCGAUCUCAACACUAGAUUUUGUAAGAAGCUCAUCUGCAGUUAAAGUACUAACAUAAGCAGCAGGCAUAUGACCGAUGGUUUGACUAAUGUCAAGCCAGAAGUGGUUUUGGAGCAGGGUUUCAAACUACACCAUGGGAGAAAACUGUAUCCAGUGCUUGUCUUUAAACGGAAAGCAAGUAGGUUUGCUCCACGCUCCACAUGUUGCAUUCGUUUUUGCUCCCUGUGUGGCAAGACCAGACUCUCCCUGUUUGAAACCAGCUCAGGACACCAGCUUCUGUCAUUUGUCUGUUUUUCAGCAGCGACAGGAAGAAGAAGAUAGCCUCAGCUCCCCAGAGAUCACCUGUGAUACAAAAGAUGAUCUACAAAAGCUGGAGGCUUGGAUUCAGGAGAGGAAGCAACUCCGGUCUCAGCUGAAAAGCUUUGGAGAUGUUGAAAAAUGGCUGAGUCAUAAACCUACCUUUACCAAACUGGAAGAAAGAGUCAGGAAACGAAUAACGGCAGCUAGAGUAGACCAGAGGGCUAGAAGCAAGUCAGUCGAGACCGACAGGCCAGACUGUUCACCACCACCAAGGAGCCAGACCCGGAAGAAGGGUAGCCUUCCCCUUAUUUGUGCACCAUACCCUCAAGCUCUUAUCGCACUGCAUAACCUCCUACACCAACAGAAGUUGACAAUGGUAGACAUCUUCAGAAAGGCUGGAAUGGAACAGAGAAAGAUCAUGAGAGCAGACUUCAUUAAAGUCAUCAAGGAGGUAUGUAGGGAAGAGAAAAGUAAGGAACUGCUGCAACUUUGCCUUGUUUUGCUGCAUGCCAACCCGGAGAAGUGGAAAAGCUCCAACUUCUCUUGUGUUACUCUCAGAGGAUGGCUCCCACAGCCUGUGAAAUGUUGAAGGGAAGAGGGAAGGGAAGGCUGCAGAGAUGCGAGCUGCCACCCAGACUGAGUCCCAGGAGGGAGUGAAACUCAUUGCCUCAUAGUCUCUAAAGACAGUCAGCGCUCAGUAACGUGGCCUGAACUGGCAUCAAGUUUCCUCGUGUUGAUACUUGGUCUUUCCUUGGCCAGUUUCAUGUGUCUGCCCGCUGCACUGCCUUUUAGUACCUGUUGGCACAGCAGAGCUCGUGCUGAGCCUCACUUUCCACAGGCUGCAACGGUACAGAACUGUCAAGAGCAUGUCCAGAUCUGUUAGGGUUUAGCAGUUCAGGUGUUUUCUGAUGUUCUGUUCCAAGCCAAAUUAGCUUCUUGACGCCCAGAUGGCUGAGAAGUUUGGCACAUUGAAAGCUGAGAGCUCAGCAGAGGACAGCAAAAGACCAGUAAAUUUUUCAGUGCUUGGUAAACUCAUGUAAAGCUUAAAGCUCAACAGGUUGCCUCUGUGCCUUUUCUGAAAAAGCAUUUAAAACAACAGCAAAGCUCAUCCCCCCCCUACUCCGGGCCAAGCCUUGUUUUUUUAUUGAUCACACUGUCGCUUCCUGUUUUGGCUGCCAGACAAAAGUUCCCAUCAGUGACAAGGAGCUGGAGGAUGUGGUCAUCUUCUUGACUUCUUCAAAGCGGAGGAAUUAUAUAAGCAGUGAAGAUCUGAUUGAAUGUCAAAAGCAGUGGCAGGAAAUGAGGAAAGGACAGCCCAAAGAGACCGGCGAAGGUGAGAGGAGAACCCUGGGCUGGGAAUCUCUAUCCUUGCAGAUGCCCUAAAAGUACACAGGUGGCAUUAGGGAAUGCCAAAGUAGAUCCAGAAUAUAGCUCCUUGCGACUAUUGUCCUGCAACGCGGUUGCUGA